UCUGUAGUCAUUUGGUAAAAUGGGGUAUUCUCAUACUCUGGAUAGCUGUUUCUUCUAGAUAUCUCUGAAUUAGCCAUUAGAAAGUUUUCAUUUCAAAAGGUCAUAAUUCUGAAAUAUAUUUUAAUUGCAUCUGCUUCGGUAAACAGGGUAUAUUGAAGGAAGAAGAAUGUUGAGUUUGCAGUGCUGUAACGCUACUCUUCUACACAUCUCCCUAGUAUUUCUGUGUGUGGCUCUACUUAUAAAAAAAGGUUCCUUGAGGCCACAGUGAAGAACUGGGCUUAGGUCAGUGAUGAGUAGAGUCAUGGUGAGUAUUAAAAUAAUGGUAGGUAAAAAUAAUAAUAACAAUAAUAAUGAUGGUU
ensembl:lncRNA